AGAUGUGGAAAUGGCUUUAUUGCUGGAGUCAUUCAUGCAGACCAUCGGAAUAAUGCUCGGGCAUCUCGUCAAAUGCUGUCAGUGAAUGUUGCAGUGACUGUGUCUGCUAUAUCGGCACCAAUGAACACUCGCAACCAACCAGGAGGUCGUCACAUGGACCCACCUUUUACUGAUGGUUACGUUUUACAACCCGUUUAUGGAUGGGGAGGAAACAGGUCUCAGCUUUGGGACAGAGAUGAACAACACGAGGAGGCGGAGAGAAAUAUGCGUCUGAAGGAGAAGAAGAAAAAAGCUGGAAGAAGAAGGAAAAGAUCCCGCCAUGCUGGUCAUUAGAGGGGCUAAAG